rnacentral:rRNA from 1 species
GACGAACGCUGGCGGCGUGCCUAAUACAUGCAAGUAGAACGCUGAAGGAGGAGCUUGCUUCUCUGGAUGAGUUGCGAACGGGUGAGUAACGCGUAGGUAACCUGCCUGGUAGCGGGGGAUAACUAUUGGAAACGAUAGCUAAUACCGCAUAAUAGUAGAUGUUGCAUGACAUUUGCUUAAAAGGUGCAAUUGCAUCACUACCAGAUGGACCUGCGUUGUAUUAGCUAGUUGGUGGGGUAACGGCUCACCAAGGCGACGAUACAUAGCCGACCUGAGACGGUGAUCAGCCGCACUGGGACGGAGACACGGCCCAGACUCCUACGGGAGGCAGCAGUAGGGAAUCUUCGGCAAUAGGCGGAAGUCUGACCGAGCAACGCCGAGUGAGUAAAGAAGGUUGUCGGAUCGUAAAGCACUGUUGUAAGAGAAGAACGAGUGUGAGAGUGGAAAGUUCACACUGUGACGGUAUCUUACCAGAAAGGAACGGCUAACUACGUG